rnacentral:rRNA from 1 species
GAUCAUGGCUCAGGACGAACGCUGGCGGCGUGCCUAACACAUGCAAGUCGAACGGACGAGGCCCCUUCGGGGACUGAGUUAGUGGCGAACGGGUGAGUAACGCGUGAGGAACCUGCCUUUCAGUGGGGGACAACAGUUGGAAACGACUGCUAAUACCGCAUGAAGCAAUUGAACCGCAUGAUUUGAUUGCCAAAGAUUUAUUGCUGAAAGAUGGCCUCGCGUCUGAUUAGCUAGUUGGG